rnacentral:tRNA from 1 species
GCUGGGUUCGCAUAGCGGCAAUUGCUCGUGGCUGUAGACCACGCGCCCUUACGGGCUACGGGGGUUCGAGUCCCUCACCCAGCA